rnacentral:lncRNA from 1 species
GGUUUUUUCCUUGUUCAUUUGUCCAGUAACUAAAAAAUUUUGUGUCAUUUGAGGAAGUCCCCCUCAACUAUUUGAAACUUUGAUUCAUUAAGUGUGUGCAUGGGAAGAAACGUCAUAUAAUUAAUUAGAAAUUAGUCAUAGUGUGUAGAAAAGGAUCACACGACAACAGCUGUUGUUGCUUAUAGCGUAAGUGGUUUAAUGCAGAUAGAUAGAGCUUUACAAUCACAAAUUCUAUUCAACCUUUAGAAUAUUUUCAUGUGUCUACUUCAAUUAUUUUGAAACCCAGAAUCAUAGUAUGAGAACUGGACAUACAUUAGCUGAUUAGAAUCAUAGUAUGUCUACUUCGAGUUAAAACUUGUGUAAUGAUCAGAGACUAAACUAAUGUACAAACGGA